rnacentral:rRNA from 1 species
GGCUUGUAGUCAUAUGCUUGUCUCAAAGAUUAAGCCAUGCAUGUCUAAGUAUAAGCAAUUAUACCGCGAAACUGCGAAUGGCUCAUUAUAUAAGUUAUCGUUUAUUUGAUAGUACCUUACUACAUGGAUACCUGUGGUAAUUCUAGAGCUAAUACAUGCUAAAAACCCCGACUUCAGGAAGGGGUGUAUUUAUUAGAUUAAAAACCAAUGCCCCUCGGGGCUCUCUGGUGAAUCAUGAUAACUAGUCGAAUCGACAGGCCUUGUGCCGGCGAUGGCUCAUUCAAAUUUCUUCCCUAUCAACUUUCGAUGUUUGGGUAUUGUCCAAACAUGGUGGCAACGGGUAACGGGGAAUUAGGGUUCGAUUCCGGAGAGGGAGCCUGAGAAACGGCUACCACAUCCAAGGAAGGCAGCAGG